rnacentral:tRNA from 1 species
GCCUGGCUGGCUCAGCUGGUAGAGCAUGCAACUCUUGAUCUCAGGGUUGUGAGUUUGAGUCCCACACUGGGUA